GUCCAAGCGGACCUAAGGAGUCGCAGUUGUGAACAGGUUAGAGUUACUUGUUAUUGGUAAAUAGCCACUAUGGAGACUAAGGACCAGAAGAAACACAGAAAGAAAACAGUGGACCCAAAGCUGCAAAGAAAAGAAGUGGCAUCUGCAGGAUCUCCAGCUAGGAGACGAAGAAAAUGCCCAGAAGAGAAAUGCCAGUGCUUUUGCAGUUCAGUCUGCUGUGUGGAUGUCUCGAUCCUUUCACAGGACUCUGGAUUUGAAGACACAAAAGCAUCAUAUUCCAGUGGUUGAUGGAACUCCACUAGAGCCGCCACCAAUAGUGGUAGUGGUGAUGGGGCCUCCAAAGUUGGAAAGAGCACUUUGAUAUAAUGCCUCAUUCGGAACUUCACCUGGCAGAAGUUCACCGAGAUCAGAGGCCCUGUGACGAUCGUGUCAGGUAAAAAGUGCAGACUCACCAUUAUUGAAUGUGGGUGUGACAUUAACAUGAUGAUUGAUCUGGCUAAAGUAGCAGAUGAUCUGGUACUGAUGCUUAUAGAUGCCAGCUUUGGGUUUGAAAUGGAAAUGUUUGAGUUUCUAAACAUCUGUCAAGCACAUGGCUUUCCUAAAAUUCUGGGAGUUCUCACCCACCUCGACUCCUUCAAGCAUAACAAGCAACUGAAGAAGACAAAGAAGCGAUUAAAACACAGGUUCUGGACAGAAGUUUACCAGGUUGCCAAACUGUUCUACCUUUCUGGAAUGGUGCAUGGAGAAUAUCAAAACCAAGAAAUCCACAAUCUGGGCCACUUUAUUACAGUUAUGAAGUUUAGGCCUCUCAUGGCAAACUUUUCACCCUUAUAUCCUGGCAGACAGGAUGGAAGAUUUGACAAACCCGGAGGAUAUCCAAACAAACAUCAAAUGUGACUGGCAGGUGUCACUUUAUGGUUAUUUAAGAGGAGCACACUUGAAAAAUAAAAGCCAAAUUCACAUGCCAGGACAAGGUGGGGCUCACCCAUGAGCUGGUCCAGAGUCUCAUCUCCACCUACUCCACCAUUGAUGCCAAGAUGGCUUCAAGUCGAGUGAUGCUGCUUUCCAAUUCCAAACCACUUGGGUCAGAGGCUAUAGAUAAUCAGGCGUCAGCCUCGAGUUUGACCAGCAGCAGGGGUCGGUGUGUCCCUCUGAAUCUGAGAUCUAUGAGGCAGGAACUGGGACAGGAUGGCAGGAGCACCCAUGGCUGCUGCUGUACAGCCUGCUGAGGUGACUGUUG
rnacentral:sRNA from 1 species